rnacentral:rRNA from 1 species
UACGUAGGGUGCAAGCGUUAAUCGGAAUUACUGGGCGUAAAGGGUGCGUAGGCGGUUCGUUAAGUCUGUCGUGAAAUCCCCGGGCUCAACCUGGGAAUGGCGAUGGAUACUGGCGAGCUAGAGUGUGUCAGAGGAUGGUGGAAUUCCCGGUGUAGCGGUGAAAUGCGUAGAGAUCGGGAGGAACAUCAGUGGCGAAGGCGGCCAUCUGGGACAACACUGACGCUGAAGCAUGAAAGCGUGGGGAGCAAACAGG